rnacentral:rRNA from 1 species
AUUGAACGCUGGCGGAAUGCUUUACACAUGCAAGUCGAACGGCAGCACGGACUUCGGUCUGGUGGCGAGUGGCGAACGGGUGAGUAAUGUAUCGGAACGUGCCCAGUCGUGGGGGAUAACGUAGUGAAAAUUACGCUAAUACCGCAUACGAUCUAUGGAUGAAAGCGGGGGACCGUAAGGCCUCGCGCGAUUGGAGCGGCCGAUAUCAGAUUAGGUAGUUGGUGGGGUAAAGGCCCACCAAGCCUGCGAUCUGUAGCUGGUCUGAGAGGACGAUCAGCCACACUGGGACUGAGACACGGCCCAGACUCCUACGGGAGGCAGCAGUGGGGAAUUUUGGACAAUGGGCGCAAGCCUGAUCCAGCAAUGCCGCGUGCAGGAUGAAGGCCUUCGGGUUGUAAACUGCUUUUGUACGAGACGAAAAGACUCGCUCUAAUACAGUGGGUACAUGACGGUAUCGUAAGAAUAAGCACCGGCUAACUACGUGCCAGCAGCCGCCGUAA